ensembl:lncRNA
AAUAGCCACCCUUUAUCCCAUCACCCUGAGAAAACCGCUGUUAACGUUUAGGAAAUACCACUAGUCUCCUUUUCUUUGUGAAAAGACUGGUUGCAUGCCAGGUGGGUCAGUUUAUGGGUCCUUAGCACCCCUGCAAGCAGAGCUCUGCUGCCCUCCAUGGGUACUAGUUCAUUGUUCAAGUGGAGCAACUCUUUAUAAUCCCUACCCCCCAGGCCAGGGUCCAAGGGCUCCUCAUAUACAGGGGUCUCCAAGAUGUGCAAAAAGCUGUUGCUUUUACCAAAUGCCACGGCAUCGCCUGCCCCACCCCAGAGAAGCCUGGAGGGCAGGAAGUCAGUUUAUCUGAGAUCAGUUCCCUUGCUUAGACCGAACCUUCAGCGGCUUUCCUCAAACCAGGCUGCAUGCCGAUUCACCUAAAGCCACUUUCAAAACUCCUGAUCCCAAGCCUACUUGACACCAGUUAAAACAGAAUUUCUGGGCAUGAGGCCCAGGCAUUGGUGUUUUUAAAGCCACCUGCAUGAAGGAUUGAGAACCACUUUGUGAUUUGAAAGCUGGCCAGCGGUGGUGUGAGUGGUCUUUUGGGACUAGCAGAGGGCUCAGUGGUGGUCAGAAUAUUGAGACACUCAGCCCUAGGACAUGACAUACCGGGAGUUUUUCUGCAGCCUGCUUUGUGAAAAACCUUGAGGGCAGGUGUGGGUGAUCGUUUUGCAGAGGGGAAGUCAAAGGAGGAAAUAAUAUCUUUUUCCAAAGGGCUCCUAUGGCUCCUGCGUCAGGGAAAACCACACAGAAACCAAGUUCGCACAGGACAUCGGGAAUAAGUGACUGCGCCAUCAGGCGAUCUGUAAGGCACAGGAGCCUCCUGGCUUCAUUAUGAAGAAGAAGUUUGCAAGAUAAACAAUUAGAGAUAAGCCACUGCAACAAUAGGACUCUUAGCAGAAGGGAGAUGAUUAGAAUCAGAGAAUCUUUAAAUAGUCAUCAAAUACUUGUUAUUUGUCAAGCAUUGUGUGACAUAUGAUUUCAUUCAAUCUUGAUGAUAACACUGCAUGAGAUUAUUUAUCCACAUUUUAUAGUGAAGGAAAAUAAGCUGCCAGCCUACUCCACAGCCACAGCAACACCAGAUCUGAGCUGAAUCUGCAACCUACACCACAGGUCAUGGCAAUGCCGGAUCCUUAACUCACUGAGUAAGGCCAGGGAUUGAACCUGAAUCCUCAUGGAUACUAGUCAGGUUCCUUUUCCACUGGGCCACAAUGGGAACUCCUGAAGCCCAGGGUUUUUUUCCACCCUGUUUGUCUUUAUCCCAGCCUGUUGGAUUAGAGGUAAUAUACACAAUGGAAGAAAAAACCAAGGUGACCAUCUUCUCAAGAAGGUCUGGGAGGUUUUCCCUUCUGUGAAGAUCUGUGGUGUCACAGGGCAGCUUGCUGUGUGCAAAGGGCUCCAACAGUGGCUCUGCCAACCAGCCAUAGGAGCAAACAGCCAAGUCAUUGGGGCAGCCCAGGUCUCUCUUAUCUCACCUAUGCAGCCAAAAAGGCUGCUCAGUGGCAUUGCCCUGGGGAGGGCUGGGCUACAGGGGGAUGCUGCAGGGGGCAGGAUGGACAGGCAGGACCUCCCUCUUCCCUCUUCCACCCGACAAACUCUGCACUUAGCUGCUGGAACACCCCCAGCUCAUAGGUUAGUUAAGGUCCACAACCCUUCCAGUUUAAUAGACGUCAGUUCCUCUGUUGGUGAGAAUUCCCGAUGCCGGGAAGAAUCAGUGCCAUCAUGAUGCUUGAUGCUUCAGUGCCUGUCGAGGUGGUGAUGGGGUGGGGUGGAGAAUGGGUUCUUGUGCGCAUGGCAGGGAGGAAGACCGAGUGGGCUGCUGGAGGACAGAGACGCUGGCUGCAGGCAGCCCGGCUCUGAGUCACAGUAAACCUGCCUGGGGCCCGGGAUACCCAGGGGUGAAUGCGAACAGUCAGAGCAGAUGGGCAAGUAGGCCAGGUGCCCUCGUGAUGUGACAGGGAUGCGGGCACAAACAGAGGUGGGCGCCAGGCUUCUCUCCCCAGGCUGUGCUUUCCUUGUACUCACUAGGCUAAAAGCCUCGGGUUCUCUUUUAGCAGUUUAGGAUUUAAGCAAUUUUCUGUUUCUUUGUGUUUUUCAGAUCUUAAAUCCAAAUUUCAUCCAAGAAGGUGAGUUAAAAGUGAUAGAAUUGAGACUAUGGGGAUUAGGUAAAUAAAUGAGGCAAAUCCAGCACUGAGGUAGCACCUUUAAACCUUAGUGGUGUGGUUCUGUACUUAUGAACAAGGAAAAUGUUUAGGCUAAACUCUUAGGGUCAAAAAGACCACGACUUGCAGUAUGUAUACUAGGAUCCAUGUUUUU